rnacentral:lncRNA from 1 species
GAGUACUGGGACGAUUCCGCGGAGCCGGGCAGAGACGGGGUUUUCCCAUGUUAGCCAGGAUGGUCUUGAUCUCCUGACCUCGUAUUCUGCCCGCCUCGGCCUCCCAAGGUGCUGGGAUUACAGGUGUGAGCCACCACGCCCGGCCUACCUUGCUAUAGAAUCUUUAGGCCUAAUAUAGUCUAGCCAGAACAGCUAUUUGGAUGCUUGCCUAAUCUUCAAUACUGGUUUCCCUUUUAUACAUGACUGCAAAACUGACUCUCACCUAGGUUUGUGAUGUUAGAAACUCCAGUUGUUUACUAUUAUUAUUAAAGUGGGAAACAGGGAGUUCGUUGAUCAAAUGGA